rnacentral:lncRNA from 1 species
GACAAAACUGCCUAAUUUUUUAUGACUGUCAAACCAAAACGCUCAGUGGAAUAUUCCAAUACCCAUGGAAAGGUGGCUGAGGAGCGCUACCGGAGGAGCCCGGGAUCCCCGAGGUGCAUCAGUCCCGAAAUAAGGGAGAGCAGCAGCAUCGCUCCCGGCCACCAAAGGUACACUCGUUUCGGUCAAUAGCAUUUUUUUCCCCCACUUCCCCUCGGUGUUUGCUAAAGGGCGCGGAGCUGCGUGCGAGUCCCACAGCCGGAGGAGAAAGGAAACGCGAAGAGCUUCUUCCAGCGGACGCUGCUCCCCUUCCCCUCCAUCCUGCGGGGUGAG